rnacentral:misc_RNA from 1 species
CCGUUUUCUAUCCUCCUCAAAUUUGCUUUGGAGUGCCAAAAUUUCAUUCCUCUGAGCUUCUCUUUUUUGAAACCGAUAGAAGUCUGGUCCAACUUCUUUGCGUUUCUUCUUGGUCAGCUGGCUCUCUGCAACAGCUGGGGCCACAGAACCCACAGUAAUUCCACUUUGAGAAUCAGUUGUCUUCUUCCUUCCUUUAUGGUGCACAACAACUGUCCACCCAUCUUCUGCAGCACGGGCUUCUCUUUCUUUUCUUUCCUGUUCAAGUUUUUCCUCAUGAGCAGUUACAAACUGAUCUAUCCUUUGUUGCAACACCUUCAAACCUGGUCUACUUUGAUGGUAUUCCAUAAGCCAUUUUCUCAUUCCUUUUGAGCUGUCCUCUUCCCCUGAAGAAAUGUAAUAAACCCCAUCAUGAACAGACUCAUCUAUCUUCUCCGGAAUGGUCUCACUCUUCCUUAAUUUGUGAUGCUCCUUUUUCUUUCUGUAAGAUUUCUUGGAUUUAUGAGUUCUAAUAUCUUCUCCAAUAACAGCUUCACUCUGCCCUUUGGAAUUAUUAAUACUGCCUUGAGUUUUAACUAAGCUCUGGCCUGCUGCCCCAUCAUCAUUUUGUUCUGCAUAACCAUCUUGCUGAUCAGAUUUUCCAACCAAAGCAUGAUUUUUCUCACCUUUUCUUUUCUUUUUCCUUGGUUUUUCCUUUUCUCCUUCUACUUUAAUUAGGUUAUCUUUAUUGAAUUGAACAGCUAUGCCAGCAUCAACAUUAUUUUCCUUCUCCCUUCUCCUCUUCUUCUUUCCUGUGGAUUUGAUAUUUUCACUCCCUUUUUCCUCGUUCUUUAACAUUACUUCCUUUCGGAGAAGCUCGAUAUUAGUCUUCUUAGCCUUCUUACUCUUCUUCUGCUUCUUCUCCUUCUUCUCCUCCCGUUUCUCUUUCAACUUUCCCAUGUCUCUGAACAAUUUCCCGUUUUUCCAGCAACAGUUGCCACCAAAAGAUGAG